rnacentral:rRNA from 1 species
AUACGUAGGUGGCAAGCGUUGUCCGGAAUUAUUGGGCGUAAAGCGCGCGCAGGUGGUUCCUUAAGUCAGGUGUGAAAGCCCACGGCUCAACCGUGGAAUUGCACUUGAUACUGCAUUGCUUGAGUUCGGGAGAGGGUAGUGGAAUUCCAGGUGUAGGAGUGAAAUCCGUAGAGAUCUGGAGGAGCACCAGUGGCGAAGGCGACUACCUGGACCGAUACUGACACUGAGGAGCGAAAGCGUGGGGAGC